rnacentral:lncRNA from 1 species
GCAAAAUGGGGAUGCAUUGUGAAGAAAUCAUCCUUGUAAAGCUAUUGGUUCUGGUCAUCAGACUCUAUCCAAUGCUUUAGUGAUGCUGCUGCUGAUCUAUUUGGGAAGUUGGCUGGCUCUCAAGGCAGAGUCUCUUCUCAAAGGCUGUUUCACAGUGAAAAUAUGCUCAGUGCAGCCGAGUGCAUGAAUGAAAAAGCCUCCAGUACCUUCUAGUCUGGCAAAAUGCAGCACAAAACUCAACUUAGUCUGCCCUUUCUACUAUCCCAGGCUUCUACCUGUCCUCUAGAUUGCUCCCUUGGUGUCCGUCUACCACGCACAGCAGAAUGCCCCAAGUAACUGGAAUGAUCUUUGACUUGCUCAUCAAACACCUUCUCUCUCCACAUUCAAAUAUCUUCUGAAAACCAACUUCUUCCUUGAAUACUUCCUACACUGGUCUCUUCACCAAUGCUGUCUGUACACCCUCCUGCGCCUAACCUGUUGCAGUGUAUUUGCUUACUGUUUUUGAUUGUAUGCCCCUUGCAACAGUCCAGUUUUCCAAUUUAUCAAGAUCUCACUGAAUUCAAGUCAAACCCCAAUAAAAGACAGAUUGCCAGCAAUCAUGAAGGUGGCUGGGGAGGAAAGAGUAGAGGCGUGGAGAACAGAGGCCUAACUGCCUACCCACUAGGCAGCACCAGCAGCAAACAGUGUCCUUCACAAACACUACUCAGUAGGCAUCAGAAACUGUAACAUCUCAGCAGGGUAGUGGAAUAACAGGGCAAUGCAAACCAGACAAUAACCCGGGGAAAAGUUUAAUGAUACUGAAGGCUUCAGAAUCACCCCCUCAUCAAAUGCAGGAGCAAGAGGACAUUUUGCUGUACAUCCCAUUAAUAUUGUACAGGCAUAGAGCUGCUUUUAUGCUCUGUUUCCACUCUGUCUGUCAUAUCUACAUACAGUGACAUAGAAGUAAAGAUUGUUUGUUUGUAACUUUGAUUCUUAGUGCAAUGAAAGAGGGUGAUUGUGGCAGAUUUUUUCUUUUACUGCUUUCUUCUCAGUAUGAAACUCUUCUAAAGACCCUUCAACACAUGAAAUUCUCCCAGGCCCUAACUUCAUCUUCUCUGCUGAUGAAUUCUUCCAAGGAAUCCCUCAGAGGUCUAACAAUGGGAAGGUGUCAUUCGGGAUGACAUCUUGCCAAGAAUAGUACAUUCUUCUGUGAUGAAAUUUUCCGAGUCAUGUUUCCAUUAGAAAAUGAUCUCAAGAAUCAUCUCCAACAUAGACACCUGAAAUUAAAAUGUUCUGUUAGAGUAUCUAUACUGUAUCAAGAUGAAAGAAAUUCACACAAUGUACAACUAGAACAAAACUUGCCCUAGGAAGAACACCUCUAUUUCAAGAUAACUUUUAAAGAUUCAGUUGUUGGAGACAUUGUAGGUCUUUGGUGUUGAUGAUGUGUUUUAACUGAAAUAUUUAUUUGGUGGAAAAGUUCUUUAAGCCCCUUUUUAAAUGAAUUUCUGCCUACAGUUUGAUUUAUUUGUGUCUCCUAAAUUUUUGUUUUUUCUUCUAAUUUCUGUUGAUAUUCAUCCUAUAACCUGAUUCACCUUCCAUGACUGAUAUCACAAAAAGAAGCCUACAGUGCAACAAGAAGUUUGUAGAACCAUAAAUAUUUGAUCAUACACUGGAAAGAUAACAAUGUUUUUAUAUCUGUCUAAACCAGCCAUGAAUAUUUUAUUUUAUUUUAUCUUUAAACAGAAAUGAUGGUAGGCCUAAAUGGAGUCCUGAACUUCUCUUUCUAGGUUCAUGGUGCUCAUUUAACCUUAAGGUUUAAGUGAAACAAGCUUUGUGGUUUCAGCUUGUCUUCUGAAGGCCAACAGAGAUAAACAUACCAGCUCAUGCAGUUCAGCAAAAAAAAACAAAAAAACAAAAAAACCUAAAACAAGUAAUCAAAGGAGAACUAUAAAGAUCAAGUUAAAAUGGGAUUUUUUUGUUUUUUUCCCCAAAUGUGAACAGGUGCUUAGAUGCAAAGACAGAAUGUGGCAUUAAUUAGUCUGAGUUUCAUAUGGCAUAGGAAUAAGCUUUAAUGUACUUCUGAGAAAUCUCUUCCUUCACCGUAGCUGCUUUGGAAAAAUGUUUGUACUACUUGGCUCACCAAAGGCAUCAGAGAAAACUUGGACCAAGCAUGCAUCGUUCUCUCCUAUCUUAAGUGAACCAGUAGGUACCAGUAUGUUUCAGAGAGGUGAAAAUGACACCCCCUUCUGCUAAAAAAAAAUUUCCAAAACAAAAAGACCCCCCACAAACUUGUGAACACCCCCGUCCUUAAAUUAAUAAAAUCUAAAAUGUCAAGACCCCUCCCCUGAGG